rnacentral:rRNA from 1 species
GCCCUUAGAGUUUGAUCCUGGCUCAGAACGAACGCUGGCGGCAGGCCUAACACAUGCAAGUCGAGCGCACNCUUCGGAGUGAGCGGCGGACGGGUUAGUAACGCGUGGGAAUAUGCCCUUCUCUAAGGAAUAGCCACUGGAAACGGUGAGUAAUACCUUAUACGCCCUUCGGGGGAAAGAUUUAUCGGAGAAGGAUUAGCCCGCGUAAGAUUAGAUAGUUGGUGGGGUAAUGGCCUACCAAGUCUACGAUCUUUAGCUGGUUUUAGAGGAUGAUCAGCAACACUGGGACUGAGACACGGCCCAGACUCCUACGGGAGGCAGCAGUGGGGAAUCUUGGACAAUGGGCGCAAGCCUGAUCCAGCCAUGCCGCGUGAGUGAUGAAGGCCUUAGGGUCGUAAAGCNCUUUCGCCAGAGAUGAUAAUGACNGUAUCUGGUAAAGAAACCCCGGCUAACUCCGUGCCAGCAGCCGCGGUAAUAAGGGCG